rnacentral:misc_RNA from 1 species
GAAAUGCGAUAAGUAAUGUGAAUUGCAGAAUUCCGUGAAUCAUCGAAUCUUUGAACGCACAUUGCGCCCUCUGGUAUUCCGGGGGGCAUGCCUGUCCGAGCGUCAUUGCAACCCUCAAGCACGGCUUGUGUGUUGGGCUCAUCCUGAUAUGUAGGGAUUUGCCUGAAAUGCAUUGGCGGCGUCGCGACUCCGGUGCCCGAGCAUAUGGGGUUUUUUCAACAUAGUACGCUCACGCGGCCCGGCCGUCGCCGGUCUGAUUUUUUUACUUGAAUAUUAACAUAUUCUAGAAAUCGACCUCGGAUCAGGUAGGGAUACCCGCUGAACUUAA